rnacentral:rRNA from 1 species
UACCAGCACCCCGAGUGGUCGGGACGAUUAUUGGGCCUAAAGCAUCCGUAGCCGGUUCUACAAGUCUUCCGUUAAAUCCACCUGCUUAACAGAUGGGCUGCGGAGGAUACUAUGGAGCUAGGAGGCGGGAGAGGCAAGCGGUACUUAGUGGGUAGGGGUGAAAUCCGUUGAUCCAUUGAAGACCACCAGUGGCGAAGGCGGCUUGCCAGAACGCACUCGACGGUGAGGGAUGAAAGCUGGGGGAGCAAACCGG